rnacentral:rRNA from 1 species
AAAUUGAAGAGUUUGAUCAUGGCUCAGAUUGAACGCUGGCGGCAGGCCUAACACAUGCAAGUCGAACGGUAACAGGAAGCAGCUUGCUGCUUCGCUGACGAGUGGCGGACGGGUGAGUAAUGUCUGGGAAACUGCCUGAUGGAGGGGGAUAACUACUGGAAACGGUGGCUAAUACCGCAUAACGUCGCAAGACCAAAGAGGGGGACCUUCGGGCCUCUUGCCAUCAGAUGUGCCCAGAUGGGAUUAGCUUGUUGGUGAGGUAACGGCUCACCAAGGCGACGAUCCCUAGCUGGUCUGAGAGGAUGACCAGCCACACUGGAACUGAGACACGGUCCAGACUCCUACGGGAGGCAGCAGUGGGGAAUAUUGCACAAUGGGCGCAAGCCUGAUGCAGCCAUGCCGCGUGUAUGAAGAAGGCCUUCGGGUUGUAAAGUACUUUCAGGAGGAAGGUGUUGUGGUUAAUAACCGCAGCAAUUGACGUUACCCGCAGAAGAAGCACCGGCUAACUCCGUGCCAGCAGCCGCGGUAAUACGGAGGGUGCAAGCGUUAAUCGGAAUUACUGGGCGUAAAGCGCACGCAGGCGGUCUGUCAAGUCGGAUGUGAAAUCCCCGGGCUCAACCUGGGAACUGCAUUCGAAACUGGCAGGCUUGAGUCUUGUAGAGGGGGUAGAAUUCCAGGUGUAGCGGUGAAAUGCGUAGAGAUCUGGAGGAAUACCGGUGGCGAAGGCGGCCCCCUGGACAAAGACUGACGCUCAGGUGCGAAAGCGUGGGGAGCAAACAGGAUUAGAUACCCUGGUAGUCCACGCCGUAAACGAUGUCUACUUGGAGGUUGUGCCCUUGAGGCGUGGCUUCCGGAGCUAACGCGUUAAGUAGACCGCCUGGGGAGUACGGCCGCAAGGUUAAAACUCAAAUGAAUUGACGGGGGCCCGCACAAGCGGUGGAGCAUGUGGUUUAAUUCGAUGCAACGCGAAGAACCUUACCUGGUCUUGACAUCCACAGAAGAAUCCAGAGAUGGAUUUGUGCCUUCGGGAACUGUGAGACAGGUGCUGCAUGGCUGUCGUCAGCUCGUGUUGUGAAAUGUUGGGUUAAGUCCCGCAACGAGCGCAACCCUUAUCCUUUGUUGCCAGCGGUUAGGCCGGGAACUCAAAGGAGACUGCCAGUGAUAAACUGGAGGAAGGUGGGGAUGACGUCAAGUCAUCAUGGCCCUUACGACCAGGGCUACACACGUGCUACAAUGGCGCAUACAAAGAGAAGCGACCUCGCGAGAGCAAGCGGACCUCAUAAAGUGCGUCGUAGUCCGGAUUGGAGUCUGCAACUCGACUCCAUGAAGUCGGAAUCGCUAGUAAUCGUGGAUCAGAAUGCCACGGUGAAUACGUUCCCGGGCCUUGUACACACCGCCCGUCACACCAUGGGAGUGGGUUGCAAAAGAAGUAGGUAGCUUAACCUUCGGGAGGGCGCUUACCACUUUGUGAUUCAUGACUGGGGUGAAGUCGUAACAAGGUAACCGUAGGGGAACCUGCGGUUGGAUCACCUCCUUA